rnacentral:lncRNA from 1 species
GCAGUAACCAAAGCUGGAAUCCAACUCGACUUCAGAUAAACACAGAUAAAUGAAUUUAUAUAUUCUUUGCGCUUGAGUUCAUGUUUAAUCCAAAUUACACUAGUUAAGGGUUUCCCCCUACAAGGACAGUCACAAUGUAAGAAAUAUUUGAUCUCAUUCUGCUUCUACUUUAGCUUAGCCUUAUUAAUUGUACCUGGAAAACAUUCUCAUUAAUCCCAUAGCACCUUCACUCCUAUGUCAUCAACUGGUUUUCUGCUCACUCUACAUUUCUUGACAGGGAAAAUGAGUUUAUUCAGAGGUUUGUGCUGUCACAGCUUGGAUUUAAGGCCAUGGUAUCACUGAGUGGCUGGGGCAGGAACCACCUAGUCCAAACCCCGGCCACCUGGAGCCAGUCACCCAGGAACAAAUCCCAGCACAUGUACUGGACCUUCUAAAGUUCUUUGGCCAAAAGGAAGGUGAACUCAUCUGAGCCUAUUGGAAAGGGAAUGGUUAUCAGGCAGAGCAGAUAAGCAGAAUACAUGAGUUAUAAAAAGAGCAUAUCUGAUAUGCACUUAAAAUAAACAUUUCCUCAUCAAUACAUGACAGUGACCACCUCACACUGCAGUCACCUGGAUGUGUGGAACAAAUACAAGCCCUCAGUGAUCAGCAGAGCCCACUAAGCUUCAACAAAGCUUCAGACUUGUGGCUGCAGACAUCUAUGGGUGCUGAAAAUGGCUUCUGGGAUGUUUUCUGUUUCCACUCUGUAUGCGAUAUAGCCACUGCUGGAACUAGGCUGCAGCCCACCAGGAUUGAGAGCCAGGCAUGUCCAUCAACUUCUUCUUCCAGGCUCCUUGAGUUCCUCCCCAUCACAGAUCUAGCUCCCCUUCACAGACUCAAGCCAUU